rnacentral:tRNA from 1 species
UAGCUCAGAUGGGAGAGCGUCCGGCUCAUAACCGGUAGGUCUUAGGUUCAAUCCCUAAACGGUACACCA